AAAACUCAACUCUGAUUGGUGUGAUCACUUGUGCCUUGGAUCGGUGACAUGGCAAACAUCAGUCCAUCCAUCCUUCCAUCCAAUUUUGAUCCAACCCACCACACAACACCGCACCAAACCCCUCUCUUUCUCUCUGAACCCUAGAGCUUCGCUCCUCCCUUACUGCCGCCACCACUCCCGUGCAUGACCGCCCUUCUCGCCCGCGAGCCCUCUCUCUGUCCCCCUCACCAGAUCCACGCCGACCUGCUCAUCCCCUCCUCCACGUCCAAGUGUCGUGGAUCUCGCCGUCGGGGCUCCUUCCCGGACUAGCAGGAGCGUGCUGGUGACGGGCGGCGCGGGCUUCAUCGGCACGCACACGGUGUUGCAGCUGCCGGAGAAGGGCUACGCCGUCACCGCCGUCGACAACUUCCGCAACUCCGUCCCCGAGGCGGUCGACCGCGUCCGCCACAUCGUCAGCCCCGUACCCGAUCCACCCGCUCUCACCUUUGGCUGGAUCGAAGAAGAUGCUCUUGUGCUGGUGCUUCUCCUCCACCGCUUCUCCUUCUCCCCCAUCUCUGGCAUGGUCUUCUUCUUAUUCGCCAUUGCCGUGGUGGGCGCCGUUGCCAUUGUUGCUGCCGUGGUUGUGGGCGAGGUCCAGCCGCUUCCUGAUCUCCCUGGUCAGCAGCUCCUCCACCGCAUCAGCGCCGCCGCCGCCGUCGUGUUCCUCCUCCAUGAUCUCCACCUCCUCCUUGAACUGGCCCCACUGAUGCUGCGCAUGCGCGCCGGCCUCCGCCACCACCUCCAUCGUCCCUCCCCUUCCUUCCCUGUAGCUAGGCUAGGCUAGGCAAGGGCCAAGAAAGCUCCUCUGUUUCUUGGUCUCCUUCAGCCUCAGUGACUCUGCCCCGCUCCCAAGAAGGGGGAUGGGGAUUUUAUACCGACGCUGGCAGUGGCACCAGCAGCAACCAUGCCCCUGUGUAGUGUGGCCGCGUGGGGAAGAAGUUGUUGCUCCUCCUUCUCUUCGCCAUUAACCAAUCGACGGCGCCGCCGCCGCCGUAUUUUUGUACACAUGACGUACUGAUGUGCACAAUGUUCUUUUUAUCAGGACGAUGAUGUACUGAUUCGGUUCGGUUUCCAUGCGCCAUUUUGCUAACCAAGCCUCGGCUUGAUCCGCAGGAGCUUGUCCGGUGGAUGCGCGAGGCCACGGACGACGGGAGCGACGGCAAGGACGGCGACACCGUCAAGCAGCACUUCGCGAGGAUGCCGCACAUGUUCUCCGUGCCGCGCCACGCCGCCGAGGACUGCUUCCCCCAUCUGGUGCGUGCAUUGGCCUGGCAUGUAGAUAUCUCUUCUUAAGAAAACACCAAUUUCUUUGAAACACUAAAAAGAGGGCAACACAGGGCAUGUAGAUAUCUCUGCUCUAUAAAAUUAUAGCUCAAAAUUCUGCUGGUGAUCACAGAUAUACUGAAACAGAAUCAAACAGACAUAUUAAUGCAAGAGACAGCAUAACAUCGGCUCAAACUUCGAGUCCCUUUUCAUAAGCACACUCGAGCAAUUGUUUGAUAGCUGGUCAAUCCAGUGCUUAGUAUGUACCUAGUCUUUGGCCGAACCAAACAUAAGUCAGACUUAUGCUUCAGUUACUAUGAGUUACUUCCACCUCAGUAACUUGUUUGAUGCAGCUUGACUGUAAACCUUCUUUGAUCCAAUGGUGCUAACAGUGCUAAGUUGGGGCCUUAAAUUGAUAGAUUGUCCCUUGAUAAGUAAACCUUCUCAUUUCUUUUGUUUAGCUGUUACACUAAAAAACUUAUCAUAAGCCAGUUUAGUAGCCGUCACAGACGAAAGCAGUCAAAACCGCAUCUAAAUUCUAAGCAAAAACCUUUUCAUGGCAACUUAGGAGAUCAUUUUCACAACUAUAUUUUCAACCAUUAGGGUGGCCCUUUCCAACCUUCAGCACUGCAGAGAAGACAUGCACCAUAUUUUUAAUCCUAAUAAACUCACCCGAGGCUUCCUUGUUGAUAGUCAAAUGCUCUUUCAUUGAAAUCUAUUCAUGGCAACUUAGCCACUUGAAAGGAAUUCAUUUUCAGAACUAGACAACAAUUGCAUGUUCCCCUUAAUCCUAAUAAACAAUUUUCAGAACUAGUAUGCAAGGAGAAUGCUCAUUGGCUCAAUUGCUCCCAUAUGCAAGUACAACAAGGGCAGGGGGUGUCGAUCCAGGUGUACUGCUGAGCAAGUUCCGGUGGAUGCAAAUGAACCCAUGAAUAGUGCCUAUCAUUACAAGUGUGUCUGCCAGAGGUGAUAAUUGAUGAUUAGUAGGAGCUUCUGUGAUAUGAUAUGUCUUAGUAGAGAGUAGUGCUUUUCCUUCAGCAUCCUCUUCUUUUCCUUCUAUUCUCUUUCUCUGUUAAAAGGCUUCUUCUUCUUUUUUUCCUUUUUCUUUUUUAUCAGAGGUUGACUAGUAGCAGGCUAGAGGGGCAUUUUGUAUUAUAAGAUGUCUAGUUCAGCUUGUGGACUAGCAAUUUUGGGAGUAAAUGGUCUGAAAUUUUGAUAUCCAAAGAGAAAAUUGGUUGUGCAAAUAACCAGUUUCCUUGUUAAUAUGUGCAACUAGAAAUUAAAUCUAUAAGCAGACCUUGAUGCAGUCUUCUGCUUGAAUAGGCUUAGAACUUCAGACUGGAUCUUGUGGACUAUUGGCCUCCUACUGUGCAGUGUACAAAUGCUGCAAAUCUUCUUCUGUUCCACAAGAAGUUUGACAGUCUCUUCUCUACACUGCGCAUCUUCAGCUCUCCUGGGAUUUUGCGACAUCCCUCUUUUCAUGUAACAACCACCUGUACAAGGGAGCAGUAGAUUCAUAUUGACAAAUUAGAAAAGAAGAAAGAAGGUGACUUCUGUGUAGACUGCAUUUCCUCAGCACAGCAGACUUCAUGUGUUGAAUUUAACCGACCAGGUCUACUUUCAUGUGUGUACCAUAUUUUUACGCAAAACUUGUAGCAUAGGUAAUAAGCAAUCCAGUACGAAGCAGAGCAUUUAUUGUGCGGUGUUCUUUCAUGUUCUCGUUAAGCGGAACUUACGCGAAUAUAUGUGCAGCCUCUCGUUUUGCUUGUCGUAUCAAUAUUGUGCGGUGUGGUGCUGCACAUUCACCAUAUGUUUGUUCAGUCCCCAUUUUAGGUGGUAGUUGACUAGCUUCGCUUGCUGUGCUUGUUCAUGCAAUUAUCUCUGUCGUCGUACCAAUUGGAGAUUAAUUCCAUGACCAAUGUUGAGGAUACUUAGUUUACCUGCAAAUUCAGGGCUUGUUGAUGUCUCAAUCUGUUCAACUUCAGGGCUCAGAUACACACCAGCAGUUAACAGCUGAAAUUUGAUCUCCACACGUAUUAUUUUGCGAAACAGUUUAGUUUUCACACUAUUUUAGGAUCUCUUACUAUGUCUUCUGCCUCGGAACCACCGGCGAACUGGCUGACGAACCGAGUUAGCAGCGGCUGUCACUGUCGGUUAUUACUUAUGAUGUUGUGCUUGCCCUGUUAAUGUUCUUCAGGAAGAAUUUGAGGAGUACGCCGAGAAGGCCAAGACGUUGCCCGACACCACCACCAACGAGAGCAAGCGCUGCCUCUACAGCGUCUAGAAGCAGGCCAUCGUCGGCCCUGUUAACACCGGUAUCUUCACAUUUUACGCGCCUUUCCUUUCCUUUCCAUAUUACUAGUUUUAGUAACAAGUAAAUUAUAAGGUCUGGUUUACUGUUAAAUUAGCUCUAGUUUCCUCUCCUGGUGAACUCUCAAGAGCGACUCUAUUUGAUUUAUUUUUGCGUAUCCAUAGAAAGGACAAUCUGAUGAAAAAGGAAAAUACACAGCGCCAUCUUAAGCUUUAACUAGUAGCACAACCAACCCCAAUGUGGUCACUCAUUGUUCCAAAUAAUAUUAAUAGUUAUUAUUAUGUGGUCACCUGGACAUGUGCCCAGAUCCAUAUAUGCAUGAUUGGUACCUGUAUAGAUCUACAAAGGGAACAACAUCUAACAGUGCCUGUCCUCCGAUUAAUUAUAAAUAAUAUUACUACAUAUUGUUACUAUCUGGCAGAGUAAUUUUUAGAUUUUUCUUCUCAAACACGAAUACAAGUAGAUGGCAGUUUGUAUUAGAAUUUCGUCGAUUCGUCGCGCUUUACUAACUGCCAUCAGGGAGUGGAUCAAGAUGAUGCGCUAUACAUGCAUGUUGCUAUGCUAUUUAUGUGGGUGGGAGUUGAUCAUUCAGUAAUCAACAAUGUCGACUCAUGCAUUGCGUUUUUCUGUCCCUACUUGUAUUUAUUCCUGGUAUAUGUCUUUCUCGCAACUGUGUAUCAAGUUGGUCUGCUGAACAUUGACGGAUUCUAUGAUCAACUGGUGCAUCAUACUUGUUUUCCUUCAAAGUUUUCCUAAAUAUUAUUAUUUUUGUGUGCAACUUAUCUUAGAGUGACCAUGUAUGUCAGUAUACUCAAGUAACUGAAUGUAUUCAUGUUAACUCUGUUAAGUACUAGUAGAUUCAGAAAUUUUGUUCAUAGAAUUAUUGGUAGGAGCAGUAAACGAGUCAAACAAAAAUAUCCAUAUGCAAAUGUCGGUCUAUGUUUGAUUCAAUUUGGUUUGCUCUGCUACUGAAGCUCCUAUCCGGUCUAAUGUUUUUUGUUUUGUCUCUUUUUCUAUUGCUAGGAAAGUGAUGAGAAGAUGUCGAUGAUUCCUACUGGGGACAUUCAAAUCAACACAACAUAAAAUUUCAGAACCUAUGUCUCAUAGGAGAGUGGAAUGAACUCAAUUGUUAGCAGAUGUGUCAUUGUUUUAUUUUGCAAUUCUGUUCGUUCUUGCUAUAUUCCUAUGUAAGGAAAUGUAUUUAUGAGAUGAGUUAUUGUGUUAUGUAAACCUGGCAGAUGUAUUAUGUGAUCUUAUAUGAUGGAUGAUUUUAAUUUGAGUUGGAGUAUUCUUGAUUUGAAUAUGAAAUAGUGGUGGAUUUAAUAUUGGAAAAAUAAUUGGGUUGCAAAGGCCCAACAAAUAGAAAUGAAACCAAGUUCUGGAACAAAAAGUUGCUGAAUUCAAAAAUGAAAAAAGGCCAAAACUGAAACUGGACCAAAUGUAUUUGGGCACUAAAAGGCCAGGGCCCAAAUGUUGGUGAACGUCGCANNNNNNNNNNNNNNNNNNNNNNNNNNNNNNNNNNNNNNNNNNNNNNNNNNNNNNNNNNNNNNNNNNNNNNNNNNNNNNNNNNNNNNNNNNNNNNNNNNNNCAUGCUUUGUUCUUAUGUUCUCUUGGUUCUUCCUUUUUGGCAUGAAUGUUUAUUGAAUGAUGUUCGUUUACAAUAGAUUGCUCGGAGUGUGGCGAGUAGAAUUAUCAGGAUUUCGAGAGCGACUAUCUUCAUCAAGUAAUACCAGGCAAGUCAUUUGAUCAUGUAUCACCUAUGUUUUAUGCAUCGUAGUUCUACCAUCCUAUGCCCAAUUGCAUGCUGAGUAGGUACUUGGAAAUUAUGGUUACAUAUUGUAGUACCAUGUGGUACGCAUCCAACAACCCCGUUACUUGGCCCGGGACGACAAAUUUCAUAUUGCUAUGCUUGAGUAGACGGGAUUCUGGUUGAGAGUUUAUCAGGAGUGAUGCGAGAAUAAUUUAAUAACCAAGACCGGUUUAGUCAAGACUUUUCAAGACCUCGUGAUGCAAUGCAACUCUGGGUGAAGGACGGCUGAUCGGCUCCCUGGAGAAACCAGUGGAUGACCCGGGAUGCUGGAGACGGCCAUGACAUCUUGCGGAAAGCUUCACCCAGGCUCAAAGAGACGGACGGAUAUUUUCAAGACCCAAGGCUUACCUGCACAGCCACAAGUCAUUAUGGGCUCUGGCUUGGUUGGACAAUGCGGCGACUCUGGACAGGCGGUGCCAGCAGAUGUAGAAGAAUGGUAGGAUUUGGAUGGGCACCGACAGGGAUUCAGAGGGACCCGUUGAAAGACCAUGUUUUGAUCAUCCGGUCUUCAAACACCCUGAAGUGCGAGGACAUACACGGAGGCGAUCAAAUCUUGUGGGGAACGUGUGCAAAACUCUGCAGAGUACUCAAACCUAAUCGAUUAGCCGUGUCCACGGUCAUGGACAACUUGAGCCAAAGGAACUGAAGUUAUCUGGAAUUCUCAACACCAUUUAUAUAUUUGAUGUGGGUAAUAUUGAUAACCUGGGUAUGAGAACUGGUUGGCGGAACCAUCUCAUUAACAACCAACAGCGUAGUAAUAUUUUUCUUUUAGCCCCUCUUGUUGUAGGAGAAAAUUUGCUUUACGCUAAAACUUACAACACCACCUGCCAUAUAUGCAUAUAGUAUAGAUGAUAUUUUACCCCCUCUCAUAUGUGACUUGCCAGCAUAUUCAUUAUGCUGACCUACAAGGCUGCAACGUCUUAUGUUGCAGAUGUUUUUCUUCGACGAGUAAGAGUACGAUUCAGGGUUACGGUCUACACUCAACUUGCCGUUGGUGUUUAUUGGGACUCCACUCCCUUGACUGCUUCCACUGAGAUAUUUAAGGUAUAUAUCAGUUUUAUGCUAUUUACAUGUGAUUGCACUUUGAUAUAUACAUUGAUGUACUGUGUGUGCCAGCAUACUGAUCCAGGGAUGGCACAGAUACACAGAGGCUUGACUCAUUUUGAGUCGGGUCGCUACAUUGGUCCCGGUUUGUGGACGGAACCGGGACUGAAGGACAACAUUUGGUCCCUGUUCGAGCCAAAACCCGGGACGAAUUGUUUUGGGCCAGGAGCGAGGCACAUUCGUCCCGGUUCGUGUCUGGAAUCGGGACCAAAGGGGCCAGACGAACCGGGACUAAUGGCCCACGAGGCCCGGCGGGCGCCCUGGCCUCAUGAACCCGGACCGAUGCCCCCAUGGGUCCCGGUUCGUAAGUGAACUAGGACUAAUGGGAUUUCAUCACGUGGACCAAAGCCCUCUUUUCUACUAGUGUAGGAACCUAAAGAUCAAUUUCUCUUUAGUUGUACUGAAACAAUUUUCCUUGUUGCAUAUUGGCAAAACCGUGGGAGAACAUAUAUAUAUGUCAUAGUUAAUGUAGGGUUUCUUGAUAAAUUCAUAGAAUAUGAAAAUUGCAUAGGAUAGCAAUAUGUUCCAUUUGAAUCCUAAGGAUCAAUUUCUCUUAAGUUGUAGUGAAAUAGUUUUCCUUGUUUCCUAUUUGCAAAACUGUGGGAGAACAUAUAUAUAUAUGUCAUAGUUGAUUUAUGGUUUCUUGAUCAAUUAAAUUGCAUAGGAUAGCAAUAUGUUCCAUUUGAAUCUUAAAGAUCAAUUUCUCUUUAGUUGUAGUGAAACAAUUUUCCUUGUUGCAGCAGCAUGUAACAUUUGUUCCAUUUUAAUUUGUUGUUUUUGCAGUAGUGACAAGCAUUGUCCAGAACUCAUGGACUUCCUUCAUAGCGGCAUACAUUUUGCUAGUGUUGAUAUAAGGAACAACAAGCUCAGGAUGAGGCACAACUUCGGUAUUUCGAUACCAGCUGACUACCACAUUGAUAUCCAAGACAAAUUCAGGCUUGAACAUGAGAGUACUUCGAUGGCUCAUAUGGCAGUCGCCUUGAUCGACGAGGAGUACGUUGAUAUGAAGACCAAAUUCCCAAAGUAUCACCACAAAAAGUGGGAGAGGACCCCACUUGAUGGUAUCAACAUUGAGUAUGCAGCAAAAGAUGCAUAUGUUGCAUACGAGUUGUACCUCAAGAUUCAAAUCACGAACCAUGGCCAGCGUCACCUCGCACUAGCACCACCACCACCAGUUUGGGGACUUUCUGAUUCAGACGAGCAGUGUUCACAACAGCGAAGACUUGUAUAUAUAUAGUUGUGCUAGCUAUUAUAAUGUACUACUUGGACGAGUAUUAUUAUGUACUGCUUGGACCAAUUUAUGUCUAGUUUCUGUUUGUGCCAUUAGUUUCCAAAUUUGAAUGGUUUAACCCUUUCUAACUUCACUUGUUACUUUUCAUGGUAUCAUGCAUUUCGACCACAUAUAUAGCACGCUUCAUUUGUUGUAACCCUCUUAACUUCGUGUACAAACUAAUGACCCUGAAAUUGAAAAGCGUUAAAAAUGACCUCUCAAAAGGCUGAAACUUGGCAUGGUAUCAUCAUUUCACUCACAUAACAUGUGAUAAAAUGAAGAUACCAUGCGAACUUUCAACCUUUUUAGAGUUCAUUUGUAGUGCUUUUCAAUUUCUGGGUCAUUUAGCUCAAAAAUCAGUAAAUGCAUGAAAAAAACAAUGAAGUCAGAAAGUGUUGAAAAUUGAUGAUGUGGCUUUGAAUAGUGUAUUAUGAACACACAAAAGUCUGGAGUUCAAAUAAAUUCAAAAAAAUUAAAUCCCUUUUGUAAGAGAUGAGUUUUCGUAUGAAACCGUGAUACUUCGAAACAGUUUGUCCGUUUUGUACAUGAAGCGCAUCCAGUUUUUGCCGUAACCCUCUCAACUUUUUAGCACAUGAUAUGUGGCUGAAAUGGUGAUACCAUGUCAACUUUAAAUCUUUUCAGAGUUCAUUUGUAGUGCUUUUCAAUUUCUGGGUCAUUUAGCUCAAAAAAUUAGUAAAUGCAUGAAAAAUACAAAAUGAAGUCAAAAAGUGUAGAAAAAUGAUGAUGUGGCUUUGAAUGGUACAUUUUGAACACACAAAAAGUGUGGAGUUCAAAUAAGUUCAAAAAAAUGAAAUCCCUUUUGUAGGAGAUGAGUUUUCGUAUGAAACCCUCAUACUUCGAAAGUGAUUAUCUGUUUUGUAGACGAAGUGCAUCCAGUUUUUGCCGUAACCCUCUCACCUUUCUAGCACAUGCUAUGUGGGUGAAAUGAAGAUACCAUGCCAACUUUCAACCUUUUUAGAGUUCAUUUGUAGUGCUUUUCCAUUUCUGGGUCAUUUAGCUCAAAAAAUCAGUAAAUGCAUGAAAAAUACCAAAUGAAGUCAGAAAGUGUUGAAAAUUGAUGAUGUGGCUUUGAAUGAUGCAUUUUAAACACACAAAAAGUCUCGAGUUCAAGUAAGUUUAAAAAAAUGAAAUCCCUUUUGUAACAGAUGAGUUUUCGUAUGAAAUUGUGAUACUUCAAAAUAGAUUGUCCGUUUUAUACACGAAGUGCAUCCAGUUUUUGCCGUAACCCUCUCAACUUUUUAGCACAUGCUAUGUGGGUGCAAUGAUGAUACCAUGCCAAAUUUCAACCUUUUCAGAGUUCAUUUCUAGUGCUUUUCAAUUUCUGGGGCAUUAAGGUCAAAACAAAUGAGUAAAUGCAUGAAAAAUACCAAAUGAAGUCACAAAGUGUUGAAAUUUAAUGAUGUGGCUUUGAAUGGUGCAUUUUGAACACACAAAAAGUUUGGAGUUCAAAUAAGUUCAAAAAACUGAAAUCCCUUUUGCAAGACAUGAGUUUUCGUAUGAAACCCUCAUACUUUGAAAGAGAUUGUCCAUUUCAUACACAAAGUGCAUCCAGUUUUUGUCUUAACCCUCUCAACUUUUUAGUUCAUGCUAUGUGGGUGAAAUGAUGAUACCAUGCCAACAUUUAACCUUUUGAGAGUUCAUUUGUAGUGCUUUUCAAUUUCUGGGUCAUUUAGCUCAAAAAAUCACGAAAUGCAUGAAAAAUACCAAAUGAGGUCACAAAGUGUUGAAAAUUGAUGAUGUGGAUUUGAAUGGUGCAUUUUGAACACACAAAAAGUAUGGAGUUCAAAUAAGUUCAAAAAAAUGAAAUCCCUUUUGUAACACAUGACCUUUUGUCCUCAUACUUCGAAAGAGUUUGUCUAAUUUGUACACAAAAUGCAUCCAGUUUUUGCCGCAACCCUCUCAACUUUUUAGCAAAUGCUAUCUGGGUCAAAAGGUGAUACCAUGCGAACUUUCAACCUUUUCAGAUUUCAUUUGUAGUGCUUUUCAAUUUCUGCGUCAUUUAGCUUAAAGAAUGAACUAAUAGCAAAAAAAUGAACUAAAAAUAAUCAAUUAAAAUAUUCUGUUAUGAUCAAAUAAAACAAAACUAUAAUAUUCUUCUAUAGCAAAAAGAAUCAACUAAAGAGCUUUUAUAAAACUCUAAUAGCAAAAAGAAUCAACUAAAAAGCUUUUAUAAACCUCUAGUAUUUUUGACACUAAAAUUAUAUAAAAUUUAUGCAACUGAAAUUAUCAAAGUAUUUUUUUGUUCGAAACAUUAAUAGCAAAAACAUUUUUCAUAAAUUAUUUUUUGUUAGAAACUUUAAUAGCAAACUAAAAUAACAAAAUCUGUUUUUGAGUAAAACACCCAUUUAAAAUAACCUAAAAAUUAUCAAAUUGAAUAUAAUGAUAAAACACACUAAUAUUAAAUAGCAGGAAAAAGAAUCACUCAAAAAUCUAUUUUAAAAGUAAAGUUAUUCACAAACUAGUGAUUCACAAACAUUUCAAAGAAUUCAAAUUUAAACUAAUCAAAUUUGAAAACUAAUCGCACUAAAAAUUAAAUGCGAAUUUAUAGAACAAAUUCAACCUAAAUUCNNNNNNNNNNNNNNNNNNNNNNNNNNNNNNNNNNNNNNNNNNNNNNNNNNNNNNNNNNNNNNNNNNNNNNNNNNNNNNNNNNNNNNNNNNNNNNNNNNNNNNNNNNNNNNNNNNNNNNNNNNNNNNNNNNNNNNNNNNNNNNNNNNNNNNNNNNNNNNNNNNNNNNNNNNNNNNNNNNNNNNNNNNNNNNNNNNNNNNNNNGAAUUUAGGUUGAAUUUUGUCAUUAAAUUCGCAUCUAUUUUCACUUUUAUGCCCAUAGUCCACCUUUAGAGAGCAGCUCAACGUUGUAGCCGCAGCGGGGCUUAGAAACGGGUCCGGGUGCCCUUCGCUUCACGAGGUGGGACUAAAUAUCGAACCGCACCGCGACUGAGGUAGGCACAUGCCUUUCGUCUCGCUUGGUGGCACCAACCAGGACUAAUGCCACCCUUUCGUCUCGGUUUGUGGCACCAACCAGGACUAAAGGUCUCUUCUUCCCGCCCUUUGGGCUGCUGAAAAUUGAUCUUUAGUCCUAGUUAGAGCCACCAACUGGGACAAAAGGGUGGCAUUGGUCCCGGUUUGUGCCACUAACCGGGACCAAAGGUGUUCGCAUAUAAGGCGGGACUUGUCGAAAUUUCCCCAAUCUCUCCCAUUUGCCCCCGACGCCCUGCCCCGACGUCGUCAGGCUGCCAUAGCUCGCCGCCAACCCCGAGCCAGUCCUCCUCAUCGUCGCCGCUCCCGAUCUAGUCCUCCUCGUCAUCGCCACCGUCCCCGAGCGUAUCCUCGUCGUCGUCGUUGCCCUGAGCCUAUCGUCGUCACUGCCCCGAGCCCGUCGCCGCCGGCCCGCGCCUCCUCUCCGAGCCCGUCGUCGUCGUCGCCUGCGCCACCCCGAUCCCGUCCUAACCGCCACCCCCGAGCCCGUCGUCACCGUCGCCCCGAGCCCAUCGUCGUCGCCCCGAGGCCGUCGUCGUCGCCGACCUGAGCCCGACUACGCCGGCCCGCACCUCCUCCCUGAGCCCGUCGUCGUUGUCGCCCGCGCCACCCCGAGCCCGUCGUUGUCGCUCGUCGCCGCCCGGAGCACGCGCCACCCCGAGCCCGUCGUCGCCGUGUUUGUACAUUUUCAAAUAUUCACUAUGCAUUUUUGUACAUUUUCAAAUGUUCACUAUGCAUUUUGAUAAUUUUUUCUAGUUUAUGAUUAUACUUAAAACCAUUGUAAAAACAUUGUUGGAAGUUUUUAUGAUUAUAGUUCAUUAUGUUCAAUAUAGUUAUAGAUCCAACAAUAGUUCAUUAUGCAUUUUCUAGUUUAUGAUUAUACAAUUUGAUAGAUGUUUCUAGUCUUGGAAAGUUUUCCCCAUCCAUGUAGUGACGAGACACGAUUCAAAUUUGAGACCCUGACUUGUUAGCGAUGAAUUUGAUACCUUCAUGGAUGAACUAAACACACCCCUCCAAGUAGUGACGAGACACGGUAGGUGAUAACCCACAAGUCUAGGGGAUCGCAAUAGUUUUCGCAGGUAAGAUAACCCAAUUUAUUGAUUCGACACAAGGGGAGCCAAAGAAUAUUUAUUAGCUUUAACAGUUGAGUUGUCAAUAUAACCGCACCUCAAAGAUACUUGCUUGGAAACGAAAUAUUAGUAGCAACAGUGAUAUGGAAGUGAUGGUGGCAAAGGAAAUAAUAGUGACAAAGCAGCAAAAUUAAAACAGCGAAAGUAAAGCAAGUCAUGACUAGCAGGAUUAAAACAUUGUAGGCUAAGGAGAUGGAUGGUUGGUCAUGGACGAGACAUAUCAUGUAUUUAACUUGGGGCAAGGCACAUAGAAAAGUAAUGAUCAUCUAGGCAUAUAUCAAACAUUAGGCAUGUAUCUCGAGGUAGUCGUGCGUGCUUGCAAUAAGAACUUGCACAACAUCUUUUAUCCUACCAUCCCGCUAUCAACACGGCCAAAAGGAACUUAUGGAGAUUAGGUGCUCCUGUCAAAGAGCAGCGAAACAAAGCAUUAACAAUCAAUGGAUACAUGGAAUCCUCAAACUAUAGUCUAUCCCCUUUGGUGUCCCAAGCUGUCAACAUUGGGAUCGCCGGUUCCAGACUAUAAUCGGUGCAUACUACUCAUAGAUAGGAUCUAGAACACAAACAUACUCAUGAAAACAUAAGGUAUUCAGAUCUGAAAUCAUGGCACUCGGGCCCAAAGUGACAAGUAUUAAGAGUAACAAGUAGUAGCAAAUAUGAUAAACACCGUAGUAGAUGAUAGGCAACAUGCCCCCAACAAUCUGAUGAACUAUUACAUGAUCUAACUCAUCCAAUAUCUUGUUAGGGAACAUAGCAUGGGAAACAAAACAUUUCCUACGAACAAGCAAUACCAAUCCAUCACUACUAGGAAAAGGCAUGCUAGUGGCGCACCUGUUUUGGCUACUAAUGGCGCACUAUAGGUGCGCCACUAGCAUCACGCCAUUAGAAUUUUUUACUAAUGGCGCACCUCAGGUGCGCCAUUAGUAUAUGGUAUACUAAUGGCGCACCAGGAAGUGCGCCAUUAGUAUAGCUCAUGGUGCGCCAUUAGUANNNNNNNNNNNNNNNNNNNNNNNNNNNNNNNNNNNNNNNNNNNNNNNNNNNNNNNNNNNNNNNNNNNNNNNNNNNNNNNNNNNNNNNNNNNNNNNNNNNNNNNNNNNNNNNNNNNNNNNNNNNNNNNNNNNNNNNNNNNNNNNNNNNNNNNNNNNNNNNNNNNNNNNNNNNNNNNNNNNNNNNNNNNNNNNNNNNNNNNNNNNNNNNNNNNNNNNNNNNNNNNNNNNNNNNNNNNNNNNNNNNNNNNNNNNNNNNNNNNNNNNNNNNNNNNNNNNNNNNNNNNNNNNNNNNNNNNNNNNNNNNNNNNNNNNNNNNNNNNNNNNNNNNNNNNNNNNNNNNNNAGUAUGCCUCCCAGGUGUGCCAUUAGUAUAGCUCAUGGUGCGCCACAGGUUAUACUACCAGCUCUAAAACUAUUCAAUUAUUAUCCUCACACCCACAAGAAGGUUCAAGAUGAACACAUACUACACCACAAUGAAAAUAUGUUUAUAAACAUGCACAUACAUUGAAUGCAAGUUGACAAACAAAUUAACCUAAAGGAAGCAUAGUUUUGACCAUCUUAACAAUCAUCUAGAACACACAACAGGGACAGUUCCCUUUUCGUGUCGAAGCUCAUCCAGCAGCCCUCGAUGUCACAAGUGUACCCUUCGACGUGCAUCGGAUGAUCUCUUGGAGUGCUCUCCUCUCCUAUAGCCUUCUUCAGCUGCUUCGUCGUUUCGGUGUGAACCUCGCGGUGCUGCAGCAGAUGCUUGUGCGUGAAGAACUUCUUUCCACAGCCAUCCACCGAGCAGAUGUGGCGCUCAUGCUGGGACAGUUCAUUCUUCGUGUCGAAGCUCAUCGAACAGCCCUCAAUGCUGCACGUGUACCCUUCGACGCGCAUUUAAGUUUUUGACAUUACCAACGUUGAUGGGAGUAUAAUGUGCUUUUGAACAAUAACUGCAUUAACAUAGUCAAGUACAAUCAGAAUGAGCAAUUACCCAGUCAUACCAAGCAGAUGAAGCAUUAGAGAGGAUGCCACAAGUUCAAGAAGCAUUAGAUAUAAAAAAAGGUGCAUUGCACUCGAUCAUGAUGAGUAAGCAGCUUGAUGGCAACAUAAAAGAAUAAUAUGGGCCCCACCAAUUGCUUGGAGUUGCUUCUCAACCUCGACAGCAUGCUCAAGAUAGAAUACAUGCAUUCUUGAUGAAUCCUUAUCAAUUCUCACAAUUGGUUUAUUUAAAUUCUCCAUCAUGGUUGUAGAGUUUCUAGGGUCACCCACAGAAAUUGGAGUGCUAUUACAUCUAGCAUCGUAAUCUGCUCCGCUGGCAUCAAGUGGCUCCUUCACAGUCUCUUUUGACCUUGAUGGUUCAGGUUGAACCUUCUGUUCCAUUGUCCAACAAUUAUUCUUUAGCUGAAAACCUUGAGACAGUGCCAUCUUAAGUUGAUAUUUGUUUCUUGUGCGAACGCCUCUUGGUCCAUUCGAAAUACCUAAGCCACCAUUACACUGAGAGCUCUGGGAUGAUGGCCUUUGUUCGCAUUUGAUGCUACUUAACGAAAUCAAAGAGUACAAAACCAGGCCCUGCAUGUUGAUUAGGAAUACAUACAAUGCAUCAGAUAACACAAUAAAUGAUGUAAGAGAAAUAAACUAAGAUGAACAUUUGCAUAACAAAUGAAGGAGAAAUCCAACUAGAGCUACACAAGUUACAUCCGUGUAUGUUUGUCUCUACAAGCAUCCAAGACACCUGCAACUGAAUGUACAUAUUCAGUACAUGCAUGAUAAAAUGGCAUCAAUUGACAUCUUAGUGUUCAAGUGUACUUCAAGGCUCUUCCCACUAAUAUCAUACAGCUGCAACAACCAGUAUAUGCAAAUUAUGAAAGAACGCACCACACAUAAUUUUUGCUGCCGCAUUAGCUGAUCCCUGGAAUUCACAAUCAUGAAAGAACGCACCAGACAGAAUUUUUCCAGCUAUGUAUGUUUGCCUCGGUGGUUCCUGCGUAGAGUAAACAUUUAAACAUGUUGCUGCCAGCUAUGCAUACAUUGCUUGCAACUACUUUUCUUACAUGACAUGGACCACCAUAUAAUUUCAGAUAUGUGUUCCACGCCAUAAACUUUACAGAAGCAUAGCUAACAGAGAUUAACGCCCCAAUUUGGGGCAUGACUAAUACUCAGAUCCUCUGUAUAGAUUAUGCUUCGUCUAAGGUGCCAAAAGAACACACAUAAAUCAUGGACCACCAUAUAUAUGUUGAGACACCGCCACAAAUUUUACAGAAGCAUAGCUAAUAGAGAUUAACAAAGAAAAAUUACCAUGAUGAUUGAAUCAUGGAUUAAUACAACCAGCAUUCAGAUUUCAGAUCAUCUUGAGAGAUCAUGCCAGGUGUAAGGUGAAAAGAAUCAUGCACAAAUAAAAACCAUAAGAAAACAAAUUAUCUCCAGGAUUGUUCUCCUGAUCAAUUUAAACAAAUUGCACACUCUAAUGAGCCAAACAUUACAAGUAGAGUUAAAUUCGUUCUUCCAGCUCUCUACACUGGAAACUGUAGGUACCACAAACUCAACCAAUAUAAAUUUCAGAACCAAAACAAUGCAUGACCCAUCAGAUAUUAUAAGCACCAGAUCGGUUAAAGAGAAAAGGGCAUGGACUCCUAAGCUCGAGAGAAAAUUCCAGUAUAAAUUGUAGGUACCACAAACUCAAACAAUACUACUAAAAUAAUAUAGGAGAAUCAUGUGGAUAUGAAAAUCAAUGGGACAUUCUCAUUCCACAAACUGGCGGCCAGGGGCCGCUACCGCAGAGGCUAGAGUUUUUUCUAGACACUGAAUUGGUUGUCACCAAAUCAGCUCUGAAUCAGAAGUACUUGAAGAACAUAACCUACUACCAAAACAUAAAAAAAUCAAUAAUAUAAUUACAAAACUUGGUCUAAAUUGAUGAGAGUGAUGGAGUUGUGAUCUUAUUGUUGCAUAAUUACGGUGUACAUGAAUAUUUUGUAGAUGGCUUCGUGGCUAGAACUGUAGUUAAAGCAUUUGGCUGAAGACUGGUAUCAACAGUGUGCCACAAUUUAUACGGCGGAUAAUGUUUUGGUGGCCUGCACCUUUGUAACAAGAAUGAGGUACUGUUAUUGUUGCUGA
rnacentral:lncRNA from 1 species